GAUGAAGAACGUAGCGAAAUGCGAUAAGUAAUGUGAAUUGCAGAAUUCAGUGAAUCAUCGAAUCUUUGAACGCACAUUGCGCCCGCCGGUAUUCCGGCGGGCAUGCCUGUUCGAGCGUCAUUUCAACCAUCAAGCCCUGGGCUUGUGUUGGGGACCUGCGGCUGCCGCAGGCCCUGAAAUGCAGUGGCGGGCUCGCAAGACACACCGAGCGUAGUAGCUUACAACCUCGCUUUGGGAGUGCUGCGGGUGCUGGCCGUAAAGCGACCUUUGCGUCUUUAGCACUAGGUUGACCUCGGAUCAGGUAGGAGGACCCGCUGAACUUAAGCAUAUCAUAAGCGGAGGA
rnacentral:misc_RNA from 1 species